AGUGAACGCUGGCGGUAGGCCUAACACAUGCAAGUCGAACGGCAGCACAGUAAGAGCUUGCUCUUACGGGUGGCGAGUGGCAGACGGGUGAGGAAUACAUCGGAAUCUACUUUUUCGUGGGGGAUAACGUAGGGAAACUUACGCUAAUACCGCAUACGACCUACGGGUGAAAGCAGGGGAUCUUCGGACCUUGCGCGAUUGAAUGAGCCGAUGUCGGAUUAGCUAGUUGGCGGGGUAAAGGCCCACCAAGGCGACGAUCCGUAGCUGGUCUGAGAGGAUGAUCAGCCACACUGGAACUGAGACACGGUCCAGACUCCUACGGGAGGCAGCAGUGGGGAAUAUUGGACAAUGGGCGCAAGCCUGAUCCAGCCAUACCGCGUGGGUGAAGAAGGCCUUCGGGUUGUAAAGCCCUUUUGUUGGGAAAGAAAAGCAGCAGGUUAAUACCCCGCUGUUCUGACGGUACCCAAAGAAUAAGCACCGGCUAAUUUCGUG
rnacentral:rRNA from 1 species